rnacentral:rRNA from 1 species
CUUUUUGAGUAUAAUUUAAGGUCUGGCCUGCCCAAUGAAUUUUAAAUGGCCGCAGUAUCCUGACUGUGCAAAGGUAGCAUAAUCAUUAGUUUUUUAAUUGAAAGCUGGAANGAAAGGUCGGAUGAGAAMAUAGCUGUCUCUAUAAAAAUUAAUUAGAAUUUUAUUUUUAAGUUAAAAAGCUUAAAUUUAUAUAGAAGACGAGAAGACCCUAUAGAGUUUUAUAAAAAAUUAAAUUAAGGCUUAUUAGUAUUUUAACAGGUUAAUUUAAUGGCUUAUUUGGUUGGGGUGAUUAAAAAAUUAAAUAAACUUUUUUUUUAUUACUACAUUUAUUUAUGAAUAUUUGAUCCUUAAUUAAAGAUUAUAAGAUUAAAUUACCUUAGGGAUAACAGCGUAAUUUUUUUUGAGAGUUCAUAUCGAAAAGAAAGAUUGCGACCUCGAUGUUGGAUUAAAAUAAAUAUUUGGUGUAGAAGCUAAA